rnacentral:rRNA from 1 species
UCUGGCGGCCGUAGCGCGGUGGUCCCACCUGACCCCAUGCCGAACUCAGAAGUGAAACGCCGUAGCGCCGAUGGUAGUGUGGGGUCUCCCCAUGCGAGAGUAGGGAACUGCC